GUGCAAGAGAGACUCCAGCAGUGAUCCCCAGCCCAGGGCUUGCAGCCAGGUCCCACUGCCAGUGCCCCACUCACACCCCUGUGCCGUGUCCCCAGGCAGGAAGGACCUGGAGCACUGCUGGAGCUCUGCUGGCACUGGGCUGGCCGAGCUUUGCCACACACAGGGGAUAAUCCAACCUCCCGGGGAUUUUACAGCUUCACUGAUGUUCUUCUGGCACUCUGGGAAUGGCUUCCCUGUAAUUUCAUGUUGUACAGACCGCAUUGUCUCAAGCUCACCAGAUUGACAUGCUACGCAGAGGAGCUGCCUCAAAUAGAGAAUUUCAGACAGCUUUUUGCUGCACCUCCAGUGUCUGACAAACUUCAAACCCACAACAUGCAAGACAGGAAAAACCUGCUUCACUGCCGAAAAGAAUUUGCUAAUUAGGCUCCUUGAAUUUCUCGAACACUCCCCUGAAGAAUGGUUAAAAUGGAUCUCCAGCAGCUGAGGGCAACGCUGCAGCUCAGCCUCAGCACCCUGUGCAGACCAAUUACCUCCACCACCCCUUUUAUUGCUACACUGAGGAAUUGUCUGCCGUUUUCAGCUGUGUAAUAUUGACUAAAUGUAACCUCAGAUCACUAUCUGAACCAUCCUAUUACUUUGUAAUAGUACCUUCAUUUUUCCCAGAUGUGGUAUUCCUCAUUUGUUUUUACUGUUAUUCCGUUUUGACAAGUUGUCUCCUGUUUAUCAUCAGUAUUUUCAGUCUAACCUUGCAUGAAACUGCCUUCACUCCCUGCACUUAGACAGCCAGGCAACACAGACUCCUGGGGAACUGCUUUUCCCUGCUUAAAAAACCCAGAUGAUGCUGUCUUAGAUGGGAAUGGAUCCUUCCCAGCUGUCUCGUUUUCUAACAAAGUUCUUUUCCAACUGUACAUUCCUUUUCCAAGAAUGAGAUCUGGCCCAAGGUUUCACUUGAUGUCACGCACAGACACGCCAAGGGCCCUACAGUCAACUUACAGUAACAUCCUUUAUGCCCUGAAAUAAUCACCCUGCUUGGAACUCCAGUUGAAUUGGCAUGAUGAACUUUCUAGGAGCCCAGGUUAACUGGUCAUCACUUCACAGUUCAGGCCCUUCUACAGGAAUCUGCCUCAUUUGCCCUGUGGCUUUCAGAUUUCAGCCUGAAGCCCCAGAGCUGAGGCCAUUUCCCCUGCCUCUCUGACCCAUCCUCUCCAGAAACCUCUCCAGUGCAUAUUUUUGAGGGCAAAUGCUCCAGGCAGCUCUUGGAGAGCAGGGUCAGUUUUAUCAGACCUCGCUGACCUUUGUUCUAGGCUACGUUUACAUGCAAAGCAUCUGACCCUACCCCUCAUGACAACUGGAACAAAUAAAAAACUGCAUACUAGAGAGGCUAAAAUGACUCCAUUUUACUUCUUGUCCCUUCAGUGACCCUAUUCCUCUCUGUAUUUUCUUCUUGCUUUUGACAAAGAAAACCAUUUCACUGCCA